rnacentral:rRNA from 1 species
UGAGGAAUAUUGGACAAUGGGCGAAAGCCUGAUCCAGCCAUGCCGCGUGAGUGAUGAAGGCCCUAGGGUUGUAAAGCUCUUUUGUGCGGGAAGAUAAUGACGGUACCGCAAGAAUAAGCCCCGGCUAACUUCGUGCCAGCAGCCGCGGUAAUACGAAGGGGGCUAGCGUUGCUCGGAAUCACUGGGCGUAAAGGGUGCGUAGGCGGGUUUCUAAGUCAGAGGUGAAAGCCUGGAGCUCAACUCCAGAACUGCCUUUGAUACUGGAAGUCUUGAGUUCGGGAGAGGUCAGUGGAACUGCGAGUGUAGAGGUGAAAUUCGUAGAUAUUCGCAAGAACACCAGUGGCGAAGGCGGCUCACUGGCCCGAUACUGACGCUGAGGCACGAAAGCGUGGGGAGCAAACA